rnacentral:lncRNA from 1 species
GCAUGUUAGUUUAUUUAUUCAAUUAUACAGUUGUUGUAAGUUUUAGAUAUUGUAUAACACGUUUGAUAAAACUACUAGAUGCAAAACGCACAGACAUGGUGCAAUUUCAUACGGUUUAUGAUAUAAACAAUGUUGAAUAUCUUUUCGUGCGUACACCUUUGCGUAUUAAUACCUUAAGCAAUACUUAAUUAAUAUACAUCGAAUUACUACGUGCCUUCAAAUGUGCACUAGAACUUAGAAUAAACG